ACAGACUCACUCUGCACCUGGCUGCAGCCCCAGUCGAGUGUUUCUUUUUCAUCUGCCAGAGAAAUAUUGCUGUGGCUACCUGACCUGCUGAAGGUGAUGCAGCUUCCCAGGGGACGUAGGG
ensembl:snoRNA